GUCGUGUGUGUGUGUGUGUGUGUGUCGAAAGUUUUUGCGGUGAUUAA
rnacentral:sRNA from 1 species